GAGGGAAGGAAAAGAAAUUAACUAAGAUUCCUUUAGUAGCGGCGAGCGAAACAGGAAAAGCCCAGCACUAAGCCCUCCGGUCGUUCUGGCCGGCAGGGGAUGCAGUGUAUGGAACGUCUAUUAUCUUAUAUGACGGUAAUACGUUCAAGUCCAUCUUGAAUGGGGCCAUUUUACCCAUAGAGGGUGCCAGGCCCGUAGCAACUGUUACCAGUAUAAGAAGAUGCUUCCAAAGAGUCGUGUUGCUUGAUAGUGCAGCACUAAGUUGGUGGUAAACUCCAUCUAAGGCUAAAUAUAACCACGAGACCGAUAGCGAACAAGUACCGUGAGGGAAAGUUGAAAAGCACUCUGAAUAGAGAGUUAAAUAGUACGUGAAACCGCUUAGGGGUUAAGCCCGAUGAACCCGAAUAUCCGAAUUGGGAAAUUCAAUAUCGUUUCUGCUUUUCACUAAGCGAAUGGUAUGCACUUUUCCCAUAGUAGGACAUUGCGAUCCAUUAGCUUUGUAUUUAUCAAACGGCCCGUGUAGUCAGUUUAACCUAUCUGCAAUACUUGCUAUUGUAUGGUUAAUGCUAUUGCGGUGACCUGGUAAACGGCUGAUGGAGCUUAACGAUCAUGCCACCAUGCAUAUGUAUCACGGUUUCGGCAUAUUAUUAUGUUGGAAUGCAGUGAUCGCAUGUAUUUGAUUAGCAAUGCGAUAGAUUUGGGAUACCUUCGGGACCCGUCUUGAAACACGGACCAAGAAGUCUAACAUGUGUGCAAGUCAUUGGGUAUUUGUUGAAACCUAAAGGCGCAAUUAAAAUAACUAUUUUAAUGGGAUUACAAGCGAUCCAUGUGAUCGUUUCUCCAUCCCGGGGCGUUCUAUACGAACAUGGUUCAAGCAAUUGGACCCUCUGUUCAAGAGCGUACCUUGAGCAUACAUGCUGU
rnacentral:rRNA from 1 species